AAGCGGCGGACGGGUGAGUAACGCGUGGGUAACCUACCCUGUACACACGGAUAACAUACCGAAAGGUAUGCUAAUACGGGAUAAUAUAUUUGAGAGGCAUCUCUUGAAUACCAAAGGUGAGCCAGUACAGGAUGGACCCGCGUCUGGUUAGCUAGUUGGUAAGGUAACGGCUUACCAAGGCGACGAUCAGUAGCCGACCUGAGAGGGUGAUCGGCCACAUUGGAACUGAGACACGGUCCAA
rnacentral:rRNA from 1 species